GCAAGUCGAGGGGUAGCAGGGAGCUUGCUCCGCUGACGAGCGGCGGACGGGUGAGUAAUGCUUGGGAACAUGCCUUGAGGUGGGGGACAACAGUUGGAAACGACUGCUAAUACCGCAUAAUGUCUACGGACCAAAGGGGGCUUCGGCUCUCGCCUUUAGAUUGGCCCAAGUGGGAUUAGCUAGUUGGUGAGGUAAUGGCUCACCAAGGCGACGAUCCCUAGCUGGUUUGAGAGGAUGAUC
rnacentral:rRNA from 1 species